ACAGAAGGGACAUUUAUCCAUCCUGCAGGAAGUGGGAGUCAGCUGAAUACCAGUCAGAGCAGAGAUCUAUACAAAAUUUCCUUUUCUUUAAGCUGUCAACAUUAUGAAAGGAGGAAAAUGAAAAUAAUGUUGGAAACAAGCUAGCAAGUACCCAAACUGAAUAAAAGCACAGUCUGGAAGAAUCUUAAGAGGGAGCAGCCGCUGGUUCCUGCUGGAAGAUGGCACAUCUCUCACACGGCUCUGCAAGUGUAAUGCUGCCUGAUUUGCACAGGACCUAAUCCACGAGCAUCACCUAGAAAACACCAAGCAGCCCCACCACCCUUAAAAAGACAGCCGGAGGUGAAAGCGGACUGGAGAAUCAACAACAUAAGGAUCUGUGAAAACGCAGCCUGCCUCUGAAGAAGAAAAGGAGCAGACCUGUAAGCUUGUUCGUUUAAGAAGGGACACAGUCUUUGCAUGUUUUAUAUAGCAACAGUGACGGCCUCAUAGCACCCUUUAGUGCCGUGUGCUCAUGUGGGCAGUGUCCUGCUAACACGUGGCUUUACUUUAUCAGCGUGGUACUUUAUCAUGUGUGGCUUUAGUUUAUCGCAGUGCU